rnacentral:rRNA from 1 species
GACGAACGCUGGCGGCGUGCCUAAUACAUGCAAGUCGAACGGGAAGGCCCGGCUCUUGCGGGGCGCUCGAGUGGCGAACGGGGGUGUAAAACGCGAGUAAAACGCCCUUGACAUUGGGAUAACUCCAGGAAACAGGGGCGAAUACCGGAGAGGAGCUACUGAUGCAUGGUGGGGGAUGGAAAGAUUCGGCGGUUGGGGAUGGAAUCGCGGGUUAUCCGCCUGUUGGUGAGGUAGUGGAUGACCAAGGCUUUGACGGGUAGCCGGCCUGGGAGGGGGACCGGCCACAUUGCGACUGCGGUACGGCCCAGUCUCCUACGGGAGGCAGCGGUGGGGAAUAUUGCGCAAUGGGCGGAAGCCUGAUGCAGCAGCGCCGCGUGCGGGAUGACGGCCUUCGAGUUGUGAACCGCUUUCGCCUGUGACGUAGCGUUAGUGACGGUAAUGGGUAAGAAAGCCCCGGCUAACUACGUG